rnacentral:tRNA from 1 species
GUCGGUGUAGUGUAGCGGUUAGCAUAGGAGCUUGUGGAGCUCUUGACGUGGGUUCAAAUCCCGCCUCCGACC